UACGUAGGGAGCGAGCGUUGUCCGGAUUCAUUGGGCGUAAAGAGCUCGUAGGCGGCUUGGUAAGUCGGAUGUGAAACCUCCAGGCUCAACCUGGAGUCGCCAUCCGAUACUGCCAUGGCUAGAGUCCGGUAGGGGCCCACGGAAUUCCUGGUGUAGCGGUGAAAUGCGCAGAUAUCAGGAGGAACACCGAUGGCGAAGGCAGUGGGCUGGGCCGGCACUGACGCUGAGACGCGAAAGCGUGGGGAGCGAACAGG
rnacentral:rRNA from 1 species